rnacentral:rRNA from 1 species
GUGAGGAAUAUUGGACAAUGGGCGCAAGCCUGAUCCAGCCAUGCCGCGUGCAGGAUGACGGUCCUAUGGAUUGUAAACUGCUUUUGUACGAGAAGAAACACUGCUUCGUGAAGCAGCUUGACGGUAUCGUAAGAAUAAGGAUCGGCUAACUCCGUGCCAGCAGCCGCGGUAAUACGGAGGAUCCAAGCGUUAUCCGGAAUCAUUGGGUUUAAAGGGUCCGUAGGCGGUUUAGUAAGUCAGUGGUGAAAGCCCAUCGCUCAACGGUGGAACGGCCAUUGAUACUGCUGAACUUGAAUUAUUAGGAAGUAACUAGAAUAUGUAGUGUAGCGGUGAAAUGCUUAGAGAUUACAUGGAAUACCAAUUGCGAAGGCAGGUUACUACUAAUUGAUUGACGCUGAUGGACGAAAGCGUGGGGAGCGAACAGGAUUAGAUACCCUUGUAGUCC